CAUUCCAUAGUUUGCCGGUUAGUGUCUUUCCCACUACACUCUCCCUCCCUUCAUAAAUUUAAGAUCAUCAACAUUUUAAAGUUACGUAUAUACGUACAUAGAAGCUCAACAGAAUUGUAACACGGAAGAAGUAACAAAUCUGUUAAGGGGAAUUAAAAUGGCCUUUUCAUAUUUGGAUGCUAAUAUGAUGAAAAAGUUAAUUAGUUCUAUGAUAAGACCAAGAAGACUGGAGUAUGCAGCGAUUGUGUGGCCCCCACAUACUAAGAAGAAUAUUAGAAAAUUGGAGAGGGUACAAAGGGCAGCCACCAAGUUAGUACUGAAGGAUUUGACUUACGAGGAGCGGUUGAGAAAACUGGAAUUUCCAACACUUGAAAGUAGGAGAGAAAGGGGAGACUUGACAGGUAUUUAUAGAAUGGUGAAUAACCUGGAUAAAGUGGAUGGAGACUUUUUAAACUUGGAAACAUGGACUACAAGGGGACAUGGGAAGAAAUUGAAGAAGGUGCAGUGUAUAAGAAACAUUAAGAAGUACAGUUUCCCUCAUAGAACUGUGGACACCUGGAAUGGAUUAGAUAUAGACAUCGUAAAUGCAGUCAGUGUUAACAGUUUCAAAGCUAAGUUGGACGAAACAAGGUAUAAAGACAGGUCAAUAUGAGCUUACUCCCCUCCCGUAAAUUAUAACUAGGUAAAUAUAUGAUCUUUGUCUAAAUCUGUUACCUGUAUUUACCUCAUAUUCAUGCAGAUAUUGCACCCAAAUAUUUUUGUUAUAGUUUUAUAGGAUAUUUCCAAAAUGUUAGUUAAUGAUACUGGCCUGUAGUUUAGAAGGCCCAUUUUGUUAUUGCUUUUGUAAGUAUGCAUUACAUUAGCAUUACAUUAUUUAUGGACAUACUUUCUUCUUUCAUUGAAAUAUUUAUGACUUUCUAAUCUAGAAACACCAGUUGAUCUCUAUAUUCUGACACAUCAUCUGGUCAUAUUGCUUUUCUAGCAUCUAAAUCACAGGAGAUUUUUUAUAUCAUAUUUCGCCAUCUUAAUUUCAUUUAAUCCUUCAUUAGAUAUUCCACCUGUAGGCACUACAAAAUCUGCUUUCUUUUUAAAUGCAAAUUUAAAAUUCUCAUUCAUAAUCUUGUUCAUCUCCUUAUCAGCUUCAUAUGUCCUUCUGCCUCUUUUUAACUUUACAAUGCAUACUAUCUUUACAUUUCUUUUUGCUAUCUAUGUAUCUGUAGGAAAGUUUAAGUUCCUCAACUUUUUUCUCAUUAUAUCCUCAAUUUUCCUCUCUCAUAUUCCAAGGUAUUACUGUAAAUUCUGGCUUUUUAAUUUUCUUUUCUACAUAUUUUCUUAUUUUCUCUGCUUCCUCACCUUUUUCCACAUGUUGUUCUUCACACACCUGGCAUUAUAUCAACUACACUUGGUUAUUUUCACUUUGUGCAUUAAUAAAGAUUUAAAUCCUCCAUCAUGCUGUUUAUCUAAUUGUUUCUUAUUUUUCUAUACUUCUUUGUCUUUCAACACCUUAUUCCACUUUAUAAGUCCUUAAAUUUUUCUAGGUUCUUUAAAAUUUUUCUUUCCAUAGUACAUAUAUGUGUAUGUGGGUUUGUAUUUGUAUAUCUUUCAUCUUUGUAGUGUGGCAAGACUACUUUGACCAACUUCCUGAGUGAAGCAGGAGAAGUUGGGGGUGGAGGAUAUCGUCCAACCAAAGGAUGUCGUAUUGUGGAGUUUGAGAUCCCCAAUCUGAAUGUUAAUAAUAUGACCACCAAGGUAGAGGUUGAGUUGUGGGAUGUCAGUGGAGACAGAAGUUCGCAGCACAGCAGGGUGUGAGGGAGGCACAGUGUAUUGUCUUCUGCCACCACAAGCCAGGUGUCCAGGGAAAAGGAGGGAAACUAUCUAAUGCAUUCAGCAAGAUUCCUCUGAUCGACACACAGCUAGAGGAGGACAGCGGAAGUGUUCGCAGGGACUUCAAUAGUGAUCUGCAAGCCUGCAAUUCACUGCAGUAGCCCUAGACAACCACUCCACAAACACCAAGACACACCACACACCACCAAGAUCCUCAUCCUUGUUCAAAUAAGCUCAAAAACACUCAAAUUACAUAUUUUUUAUAAUGUUGUUCAUUUAUAUUAUUAUUUUUUUUUUUUUUUUUUUUCUUAUUUAUUUAUUUUUUUUUUUACCAUAAAAAGCUGGAAAACACUAAAAUGGCAUAUUUCUACUGAUGUCUUUUUGUUCCUUUGUAUUAACUGAUUUUCAUUAAUUUUAGCAUUUUAUUAUGUAACAAAGUAAAAGAUUUUUUUUUUUUUUUUUUUUCUUUUAAGAAAUGUAUUGUUUCCCAACAUUAGAUUUUUUUUACGAGAAAUAUAAUUUUCUCAUUAAUCAAUCUAAGAAAACCCAAAUUUGUUUUUAUUUGUGAUGUUUAUAUAGUGCAUUUGGAAGCAUUUUAUUUAGUUUUGGUGCAUAAAAAAGUUUGGAAAUGCCCACAAAACACCUUUUUGCUGGUGUGAUUUUGUUUAGGUGUACUGGCUGUUUUUCAUUAACUUUGUCAUUUUGAUACAUAACCAAAUAAAAGGAUUCAAUAAAUCAAUUCCAUAAUGUAUCAUUUAUGUGAAAUACCAGUAUUUUCACAAAACAAUCUAGGAAAUACUCAAAUUACACAAUUCUAGUAAUGUCUAUGUAAUACAUUUUGUCUUCAUAUCUGGAUUUUGGUGCAUAAUAAGCAGAAAACACUAAAAAGACACAUUUCA